GAAUUGAUGGCCCAAUGGAUAAGGCGCUGGUUUACGAAACCAGAGAUACUGGGUUCGAUUUCUAGUGAAGUUU
rnacentral:tRNA from 1 species